rnacentral:rRNA from 1 species
CAGAAAUAAACGUCCCAGUUCGGAUUGUAGUCUGCAACCCGACUACAUGAAGCUGGAAUCGCUAGUAAUCGCGGAUCAGAAUGCCGCGGUGAAUACGUUCCCGGGUCUUGUACACACCGCCCGUCACACCAUGGGAGUCGGAAAUGCCCGAAGUCAGUGACCCAACCGUAAGGAGGGAGCUGCCGAAGGUGGAGCCGGUAACUGGGGUGAAGUCGUAACAAGGUACC